rnacentral:rRNA from 1 species
GAUGAACGUUGGCGGCGUGCCUAACACAUGCAAGUCGAACGCUAGUAGCAAUAUUAGAGUGGCGCACGGGUGAGUAACACGUAGCUUACCCACCUCCCAGCGCGGGAUAACGGUUCGAAAGAACUGCUAAUACCGCAUAAGCUCACGGCCUGUAGAGGGCUGCGAGAAAAGGCGCAAGUCACUGGGAGACGGGGCUGCGGCCCAUCAGCUCGUUGGUGAGGAACGGCUUACCAAGGCGACGACGGGUA